rnacentral:rRNA from 1 species
UACGUAGGUGGCAAGCGUUGUCCGGAUUUAUUGGGUUUAAAGGGUGCGUAGGCGGCUUAUUAAGUCAGCGGUGAAAUACUCUAGCUCAACUAGAGGGGUGCCAUUGAUACUGAUGAGCUUGAGUACAGAUGAGGUAGGCGGAAUUGACGGUGUAGCGGUGAAAUGCUUAGAUAUCGUCAAGAACACCUAUAGCGAAGGCAGCUUACUAGGCUGUAACUGACGCUGAGGCACGAAAGUGUGGGGAUCAAACAGG